rnacentral:rRNA from 1 species
ACAGGGAUUGCCCUAGUAACGGCGAGUGAAGCGGCAACAGCUCAAAUUUGAAAUCUGGCUCCCUUCUUAGGGUGUCCGAGUUGUAAUUUGCAGAGGGUGCUUUGGCGUAGCAGCGGUGUAGGUUCCUUGGAACUGGGCGUCAUAGAGGGUGAGAACCCCGUCUGUCGCCGCCUUGCGAUCGCUUUGUGAAGCCCCUUCAAAGAGUCGAGUUGUUUGAGAAUGCAGCUCUAAAUGGGAGAUAAAUUUCUUCUAAAGCUAAAUACCUGCCAGAGACCGAUAGCGCACAAGUAGAGUGAUCGAAAGAUGAAAAGCACUUUGGAAAGAGAGUGAAAAAGUACGUGAAAUUGUUGAAAGGGAAGCGCUUGCAGCCAGACUUGCCUGCAGAUGGUCAGCUGAGCUCUUUGCUCAGUGCACUCUUCUGUAGGCAGGCCAGCAUCAGUUCGGGCGGUUGUAGAAAAGCUCUAGGAAUGUAGCUCCUCUCGGGGAGUGUUAUAGCCUGGGGUGUAAUGCGGCCUGCCUGGACUGAGGUCCGCGCUUCGGCUAGGAUGCUGGCAUAAUGGCCUCAAGCGGCCCGUCUUGAAACACGGACCAAGGAGUCUAACAUCUAUGCGAGUGUUUGGGUGUCAAGCCCAGGCGCGUAAUGAAAGUGAACAGGUGGGAUCCCUUUGGGGUGCACCAUCGACCGAUCCUGAUGUCUUCGGAUGGAUUUGAGUAAGAGCAUAGCUGUUGGGACCCGAAAGAUGGUGAACUAUGCUUGAAUAGGGUGAAGCCAGAGGAAACUCUGGUGGAGGCUCGCAGCGGUUCUGACGUGCAAAUCGAUCGUCAAAUUUGGGCAUAGGGGCGAAAGACUAAUCGAACUAUCUAGUAGCUGGU